rnacentral:misc_RNA from 1 species
UUAAGUUCAGCGGGUAGCCCUACCUGAUUUGAGGUCAGAGUCAAAAGGUGCGCGAUGGCAGGUUAUGAGCAGACCAUAGAUAGUAGACGAGACGAAACUUAUUACGUCUGCCAUGGAUAUCUAGACCCACUAAGCCUUUUAAGACGAGCCAUUGCUGGCACACGUCCAAGUCCAAGCCACUCUCAGAUCAGAAACCUGAG